GCGCUGGUCGUAUAAUGGUUAUUAUUUCUGCCUUCCAAGCAGAAGACAGGGGUUCGAUUCCCCUCCAGCGCA